UGUUGACGUGGCAGAAUUCGGUUAUGCAAAAGACCUAAGCUCUUUAUACUAGAGGUUCAAAUCCUCUCGUCAACUNAA
rnacentral:tRNA from 1 species